UGAUGGGAGGGCAAUGUCUGUACUAAAUAUCUGCCACCCCAUUGAUAGUCAGGAUGGAUUCGGCUGAUCUAGCUGACUAUGCAAGUGUCUCUUUCCUCCCUCACUGUCCCUACCAAAGCUGUACACUCAGUAAAAGAGAAUAACCUUCCCCAGAUAAGGACAGAUAGGUUAUACAGGUAGCUCUGCUACUCUACUAGAACUUCCAAACAGGCUCUCAGUUUCUCACAGUAAACAUUAUUUUUUUUAAAAUUUAUUUCUUUAUUGGGGAAUUAAUGUUU
ensembl:misc_RNA 7SK 7SK RNA